rnacentral:rRNA from 1 species
GACGAACGCUGGCGGCGUGCUUAACACAUGCAAGUCGAACGAUGAAGCCUUUCGGGGCGGAUUAGUGGCGAACGGGUGAGUAACACGUGGGCAAUCUGCCCUGUACUUUGGGAUAAGCCUUGGAAACGGGGUCUAAUACCGGAUAUCACUUACCUCCGCAUGGGGGUUUGUUGAAAGUUCUGGCGGUACAGGAUGACGCCCGCCGGCCUAUCAGCUUGUUGGUGGGGUAGUGGCCUACCAAGGCGACGACGGGUAGCCGGCCUGAGAGGGUGACCGGCCACACUGGGAC